rnacentral:rRNA from 1 species
UACGUAGGGUGCAAGCGUUAUCCGGAAUCACUGGGCGUAAAGCGUCUGUAGGUCGUUCAAUAAGUCAACUGUUAAAUCUUGAGGCUCAACUUCAAAAAUCGCAGUCGAAAACUAUUAAACUAGAGUAUAGUAGGGGUAAAGGGAAUUUCCAGUGGAGCGGUGAAAUGCGUAGAGAUUGGAAAGAACACCAAUGGCGAAAGCACUUUACUGGGCUAUUACUGACACUGAGAGACGAAAGCUAGGGUAGCAAAUAGGG